rnacentral:piRNA from 1 species
UGACAAUGUCAAAUGCCACCUAAAUA